rnacentral:rRNA from 1 species
GACGAAGGGGGCUAGCGUUGUUCGGAAUUACUGGGCGUAAAGCGUGUGUAGGUGGUUGUCCAAGUUGGAUGUGAAAGCCUUGAGCUCAACUCAAGAAAUGCAUUCAGGACUGGGUGACUAGAGGACCGGAGAGGAUAGUGGAAUUCCCAGUGUAGUGGUGAAAUACGUAGAGAUUGGGAAGAACACCAGUGGCGAAGGCGGCUAUCUGGACGGUUUCUGACACUAAGACUCGAAAGCGUGGGGAGCAAACAGG